UACGUAGGGGGCAAGCGUUGUCCGGAAUCAUUGGGCGUAAAGCGCGCGUAGGCGGCUUUGCAAGUCGAUUGUGAAAUCCCCAGGCUUAACCUGGGAACUGCAUUCGAGACUGCAGAGCUAGAGUAUGGGAGAGGGAAGUGGAAUUUCAGGUGUAGCGGUGAAAUGCGUAGAUAUCUGAAGGAACAUCAGUGGCGAAAGCGACUUCCUGGACCAAUACUGACGCUCAUGUGCGAAAGCGUGGGGAGCAAACAGG
rnacentral:rRNA from 1 species